rnacentral:rRNA from 1 species
UACGUAGGGGGCAAGCGUUGUCCGGAUUUAUUGGGCGUAAAGAGCGUGUAGGCGGCCAGACAGGUCCGUUGUGAAAACUCGAGGCUCAACCUCGAGAUGUCGGCGGAAACCACUUGGCUAGAGUCCGGAAGAGGAGAGUGGAAUUCCUGGUGUAGCGGUGAAAUGCGCAGAUAUCAGGAAGAACACCUAUGGCGAAGGCAGCUCUCUGGGACGGUACUGACGCUGAGACGCGAAAGCGUGGGGAGCGAACAGG